UUCACAUUUUGAAUUCUUUUAUAACUUCGGCGUUCUCAACAUGUAUUGCAAAUGUAUUUUAUUGGUUGUAUUUUUUGUCUGUAUUCAAUACGGUGAUGCUGUUAGCCAAACGAAGAAGUUGGAAAAAUACUUUGAUAGAGAAAAUAAAAAAGGUUUACUAUCCUUAUAUGCGUUUGUAUCUUAUGUACGACAAAACGCUAGUACGAAGAACUAUUACUAUAAAUUGGUCAAUGAAAUUGGCAAACAAUACCCGGAUGGUAUGAAUAAGGAUACAUUUAUUUGGGCAAUUAGUACAGUAGACAAACAAGUUACAUGUCGAAAAGGCUUCACUCCUACGUGUAAAUACACUGAUGAUUCAAAACAACAUGCAGAACAUCUCAAGAAGUCCGCAGCAAUGGAUGAACAAUUUUAUAAGGAAUUUUUUAAUCGAUUUUAGUUUUUUUAAAUGAUUUUGUUGAAUUGUUUAUUUCUGCAGAUUUUUGUUGUA